rnacentral:rRNA from 1 species
GACGAACGCUGGCGGCGUGCUUAACACAUGCAAGUCGAACGGAAAGGCCCUGCUUUUGUGGGGUGCUCGAGUGGCGAACGGGUGAGUAACACGUGAGUAACCUGCCCUUGACUUUGGGAUAACUUCAGGAAACUGGGGCUAAUACCGGAUAGGAGCUCCUGCUGCAUGGUGGGGGUUGGAAAGUUUCGGCGGUUGGGGAUGGACUCGCGGCUUAUCAGCUUGUUGGUGGGGUAGUGGCUUACCAAGGCUUUGACGGGUAGCCGGCCUGAGAGGGUGACCGGCCACAUUGGGACUGCGAUACGGCCCAGACGCCUACGGGAGGCAGCAGUGGGGAAUAUUGCCCAAUGGGCGGAAGCCUGAUGCAGCAACGCCGCGUGCGGGAUGACGGCCUUCGGGUUGUAAACCGCUUUCGCCUGUGACGAAGCGGGAGUGACGGUAAUGGGUAAAGAAGCACCGGCUAACUACGUG